CUUAUCGCGUCUCCGUUUCGACUUUUGGGAUUGUUUUUUAGUAUUUCCUGUUCAGUGCGCGCGCGCACACGCUCAUUAUUAUAACGAAGAUGAAAAAUUUUCCAUAAUAUGUGUAAAUUGAUAUUGAAUUAUUAUCGGAUUAAUGCUUAGAUUAAUGUUAACUAAUAUUUCGUUUUAUGAUGCGAAGAUCCAUUGCCUCUAUUGUGUUCAAAACCUUUUUGUAACAUUGAAUAAUACGUCUGAAGGCAUAUUUUUAUAUAUGUAUUGCAAUGAUAUAAUAUAGCGAUAGUUGCAUGUUCUUUAUCCUACGUCGGGUUCCAUCGCCAUUUAAUUUUCCCCUCUGUGAUCAUAAAUAAUGGAUAAUCAAUUAUUUUUAUAAUCGUGAGCAACCUGUCUCAUACAAAACGAUUAGAGUCUCGCGUAUAAUAAGAUGCAUUGCUUAUGUCGUUCCUUUAAUUCCAUAAGAUACGUCGCAUGUUUUCCGAGUAAUUGUACAUUUAAAGGAUGCAAAGGAGUCGUUACGUAACACGAGAAACACAUAAUUUAUAUAGUGAUAAUUAUAAGAUGUAGAGAAUUGAAACGAGAGAAUUUGAAACUACGAUUAUUGUGAUUGAUUGGUUCUGUGCCGUAACAUAAUCUGUGUUUUUAGUGUUCCACCGUAAAUCUUAUUCGCGAAGAUGUAAGUAUAUUUAUGGAUGACAAUUCCGAUACAGAGAAAGAGGGUAAGCUGUCGACGGGCGAUGCCACGUGUUUGUCAAAAUUUAUGUCAACAAUUUGUGAUCAAAGGGCGAGGGAUUCGUUUUUGCCCAAUUCAGUUUGAUUAAACGACUUAUAUAUGUAUAUCUACAUACACACACAUUCACGUAGCAUGCAAUGUCAAACACGUUCCAAACGAAACUGUUAAUUUCGUGCCACGAUAUACGGUGUACAUGAUCCACUGGACUUUUGCGAGAAUCAUAUUCGGAGUUGUAACUUCAACGUACAAAAAAAGAAGGAAGAGGAAAAGCAGAUACACUCGGAGCCGAGAUUUAGUCCAAGAUUUUCAUUCUACGUAAAUUAUAAUUCUGUCGUGUUACGUUCUUUGAAAUGUCGAAAUUGGGAGAUGGAAGUAGGUAGAGUGGUCAUUAUCAAAGAUACUCUUUAAACCCGCUUAAGUAUAUAGCAGGCGCGUGACGUGAAUAAAGAAGAUGAUGAACGGCUGCUAUUCCUGUUCCGCCGGCGGAGCACGUAUCUUGAUUUGACAUCGUGUUUUUCUCGCGAGGUAAACGUUGAAUUAGAUAAUUGAGAGGGAAACGUACUCUCUUCACCUUCAGAUGUUUUAAUCAGGACAGGGAGACAGCAAUAUUUUUGCUACUCGUUCGUAAUUAUAUAUCAUCGAUGUUAGCGAGCAUGCCGACGACGGCACGAGCGUCAGACGCGUUUGCAAUAAUGGUUGAUUAACAAAGUAAUAAGGAGGAUACAAUCGUUAUAUCAAUCGUACGAUCGAAACUAGUCGCCCGACAACGACGAUACAGUUGUGCUUGCGGAAUAUGCAUUUCGAUAUAGUUUGGCAAAUUCGUUUUACAACUCGAUCGCGCGACAGCGAUCCGUUUACUUGCUACCUUAUCCAACUGAAAAUCGAACAAGCCCUAAUCUCCUAACUUAGAUCCAGCGAUAAAAAUGACUUGGCCGUGUGCAUAUUUGCAAACUAGAUAGUGAACGCCGACAUUGUCACGGGACGACAGUAAUCGAGCAAUGCAGCAAACGCGAAUAAAACAAUAGCUGAUAUUUAUCGGUCUAGUAAUUUAACCGCACUCUAGACGUUCUUAUUCUGCAGCACAUCCGGGAAUGUAAUUAACAAUAUUAAAGAAACUAUUAAUUUCAGUGGUACUUUCGUUACUUUUGCUUUAGACAAUGUCGACGUUCGCAAUGGACAGAUUUUCGCGUGUGUUAUUACUGCUUUAUAUUACUCAGCGAUUGUGCGAGAACGUUUUCUAAACCGUUUCCAUGUAGAUAAGCGAGGCCAAUUUUCUACCGCGUCUGAGAAAAAUAAAUAAUCCCGAUGAGAAUUUUGCGUAAUCACGCAAAGUGAGAAUUACUCCGUCGCGAAGAAACAGAAUUGUAAACGCAAAAAAUAAAAUUACGAUGUUAAAUUAAGUGCAAUUUGUGACGCGAGAGGAGGACAUAUUCUCUCGAAUGAAAAGUUUACGCUCGCUUAUGCAUCUGGAAAUGAUAAGGAUUUAAUAUUUCGACUAUAUAUGGCGAUAGAGAGGCUGAAAGAGAUGAAAAGGCAGGAGCAUAAAAGGAAGAGACGUUUUCUUAACGGCCCGCAUUACGAUGUGCGUGCAAGUUUUUUUAAUUAUUCAAG